GACGAACGCUGGCGGCGUGCUUAACACAUGCAAGUCGAGCGAUGAAGCACCUUCGGGUGUGAAUUAGCGGCGAACGGGUGAGGAACACGUGAAGAAUCUGCCUUCAACUCUGGGAUAACUCCGGGAAACCGGGGCUAAUACCGGAUAUGAGCCUUGAUCGCAUGAUCGGGGCUGGAAAGUUUUUCGGUUGAAGAUGACUUCGCGGCCUAUCAGCUUGUUGGUGAGGUAAUGGCUCACCAAGGCGACGACGGGUAGCCGGCCUGAGAGGGCGACCGGCCACACUGGGACUGAGACACGGCCCAGACUCCUACGGGAGGCAGCAGUGGGGAAUAUUGGGCAAUGGAGGAAACUCUGACCCAGCGACGCCGCGUGAGGGAUGAAGGCCUUCGGGUUGUAAACCUCUUUCAGUAGGGAAGAAGCGAAAGUGACGGUACCUACAGAAGAAGCACCGGCUAACUAUGU
rnacentral:rRNA from 1 species